rnacentral:tRNA from 1 species
GGAGAGAUGGCCGAGUGGUUUAAGGCGUAGCAUUGGAACUGCUAUGUAGGCUUUUGUUUACCGAGGGUUCGAAUCCGAAAUUGGCA